GAUGAACGCUGGCGGCGUGCCUAAUACAUGCAAGUCGAGCGAACAGACGAGGAGCUUGCUCCUCUGACGUUAGCGGCGGACGGGUGAGUAACACGUGGAUAACCUACCUAUAAGACUGGGAUAACUUCGGGAAACCGGAGCUAAUACCGGAUAAUAUAUUGAACCGCAUGGUUCAAUAGUGAAAGACGGUUUUGCUGUCACUUAUAGAUGGAUCCGCGCCGCAUUAGCUAGUUGGUAAGGUAACGGCUUACCAAGGCAACGAUGCGUAGCCGACCUGAGAGGGUGAUCGGCCACACUGGAACUGAGACACGGUCCAGACUCCUACGGGAGGCAGCAGUAGGGAAUCUUCCGCAAGGGGCGAAAGCCUGACGGAGCAACGCCGCGUGAGUGAUGAAGGUCUUCGGAUCGUAAAACUCUGUUAUUAGGGAAGAACAAAUGUGUAAGUAACUAUGCACGUCUUGACGGUACCUAAUCAGAAAGCCACGGCUAACUACGU
rnacentral:rRNA from 1 species